rnacentral:rRNA from 1 species
UACGUAGGGGGCUAGCGUUGUCCGGAAUCAUUGGGCGUAAAGCGCGUGUAGGCGGUCCGGUAAGUCCGCUGUGAAAGUCGGGGGCUCAACCCUCGGAUGCCGGUGGAUACUGUCGGGCUUGAGUACGGAAGAGGCGAGUGGAAUUCCUGGUGUAGCGGUGAAAUGCGCAGAUAUCAGGAGGAACACCAAUUGCGAAGGCAGCUCGCUGGGCCGUUACUGACGCUGAGGAGCGAAAGUGUGGGGAGCGAACAGG